rnacentral:lncRNA from 1 species
CAUGGGAUAUUAAAUUACAGAGGGUUUAUUUAUUCACUUACUAUACACUUGUUGCAACAAUUUGUAAAGUGCAUUGGGUAACUGGGGAAGAAAAAUUUCAUAACGUAUAUUGUGUGGGGUUGGUUUGUUGUUAGAGAAGGCUCCAGAAGUAGCAUAUUUGAUGAGUGGUAAAAGAAAUUAGGAACUACUAAUGAAGAUUGCAGGGAAAAUAUAGUCCCAAUCACUAACCUUGUGUUGAAGGCUAGGUUAUUUAAGGCACUGUGAACUUCAAUUCAGGACUGAAUCCUGAGGAGUAAUAAGAAGGGGCUUGCCAAUGAUAAGAAAUUCAUUAAAUUUUAAAAAAAUUAAUUUUGAGGAGGCUUGCUCAUCACAAGAGUGAUAUCAUCGGGUUGGAGCUAUAGCUCAGCGGCAGAGCACUUGCCAAGCAUGUGUGAGACAUAAAAACAAACAGUAGUAGUUUAGUAGUAGUCCAUCUACUACUACAAAAAAAAAAAAGUGAUAUCAUUGAAGCCAAAAAGAGACUAAAAAGUAGUGGGGUCAGAGGGUACUGAACCCAGAAGUAAAAUAAGUUAAAUACUGAAAAGUAUCCAUCAGAUUAGGAAAAGAAAAAAAGUCACAAUGACCAAAAUAGUUUCUGUGGGGUAGCAAAGGCAAAUUCAGAGCACCUUGGAUAUGAAAGGUGCAGGAUAUGCUUCCCAACAUCUAUAUCACAGUACAUAGAACAGAUAUAAUAUUUGAAAAGAGAACAUUGCUCAAAC